rnacentral:lncRNA from 1 species
GGCUCAUGGAUGAUUGAUAGAUCGAGCGGUGGCCCGUAACGGUGCACCAUAGCUUCUAUUUCACUACCAAAGAAUCCAACCGGCAAGGGAACAGUCAUAUGGCUGAUGGGCUAGGGUCCAUACCUCUGGAAAGGAUAACUAAUUCGGGAGCUCUGCCUCGAGCUUGGAGGUGGAAUAGGCACCUUUCGCUAGCUUGAAGGACUUUGUAACAAUAGGAAUUAAUGGAUGAGGAGACAAGGAGGAGCUUGGCCUUAUCUAUCUUCUACAUUCGAUGGUAGUUUGCUAUGGGAAAAGCACUACAUAUAGAUUUCAUUGUAGUAGGGACGGAAUCGAAUUGCAAGAUGCGGUGCCACAGCUUGGAG